CAGGCUCCUCCUUCUUGGCCUUCAGAGGACUGAGGGUGACAGUGGGAAGCCCUGCUGUGACAGGAGAGUUUGGCAGCAGGAGCCAGGAUAUCAGACAUGGACAAUCCUCUCUAUGUCUGAUUCUUCACUCGUCGUCACCCCCGGCCCUGGCCAGCAAAUACCAGCAGGAACAUUCGAGAAGCUCUGCCUCAGCCUCUCUCCAGCUGCGCCCUGUGCCAUCUGCCAAAUGACCUUUGCCCAACACCCUUAUUUUAUGGUCAUGUCUACAAACUAUUUAGAUCACGCUGUGAUGUACCUUGUCAUGAAGGUGUCACUUGCUGACUUUUUGCUGGUUUUUCUCAUAUGUUGGAUUUUUGCAUGUGGACCGUGUUGUGUUCUGUUUCCACUAUUAUCUCUAUAACCACGUUACUUCACUGUUAGUCUCCUGCUAUUAUCACCGUAGCUGGCACACCCGUGUCUGCAGUCACCCCACUCUCUGUGAGCUCACUGGGGCCACUUCCGUGGAGCCCCGUUCUGGGGACACUUCUGUUUGGUGUCACAUUUACGGUGCUGGGUCCUGCUAGCCUCUAUGUUCUGAAACCAGGACCUGCAUGUCCUCACACAGUUUCCAGCAGAGAAUCCGUGCCCCUGACUCAGAAGGCAGUGGACACCCAGGCACAGGCCCAGGCCCCAGCAUCCCCAAGGGAGCUUUAACCCGAUGCUCUCAGCUAUGUGACUGAAGGUUUGGAAUGUACCUACUACAUCCAGGCACAUACGACGUCACCCUUCCCUUACAGGGGCGGAGAUGGGAUGAACUGCCAAGGGUUCAAUGUACAGCUUGCCACAAA